rnacentral:rRNA from 1 species
CAGCAGCCGCGGUAAUACGGAGGGAGCUAGCGUUGUUCGGAAUUACUGGGCGUAAAGCGCACGUAGGCGGCUCUGUAAGUUAGAGGUGAAAGCCUGGAGCUCAACUCCAGAACUGCCUUUAAGACUGCAUCGCUUGAAUCCAGGAGAGGUGAGUGGAAUUCCGAGUGUAGAGGUGAAAUUCGUAGAUAUUCGGAAGAACACCAGUGGCGAAGGCGGCUCACUGGACUGGUAUUGACGCUGAGGUGCGAAAGCGUGGGGAGCAAACAGGAUUAGAUACCCCAGUAGUCCCUGUCUCUUAUAC